rnacentral:lncRNA from 1 species
AUUCUGAUUUGUAGUACGAAUACGAACCGUGAAAGCGUGGCCUAUCGAUCCUUUUGUCCUUCGGAAUUUGAAGCUAGAGGUGUCAGAAAAGUUACCACAUGGAUAACUAGCUUGUGGCAGCCAAGCGUUCAUAGCGAUGUUGCUUUUUGAUCCUUCAAUGUCGGCUCUUCCUAUCACCGUGAAGCUGAAUUCACCAAGUGUUGGAUUGUGCACCCACCAAUAGAGAACGUGAUCUGGGUUUAGACCAUCGUGAGACAGGUCAGUUUUACCCUACUGAUGAUAGUGUCGCAAUAGUAAUUCAACCUAGUACGAGAGGAACCGUUGAUUCGCACAAUUGGUCAUCGCGCUUGGUGGAAAAGCCAAUGGCGCGAAGCUACCGUGUGUUGGAUUAUGGCUGAAUGCCUCUAAGUCAGAAUUCGGGCUAUAAGCAAUGCGUGUGUCCGUCGCCCAUUUUCUGACCAGCAGUAGGGUGCCUCGGCACCCUAGAGGCACGUGCCGUUGGGGACCCCCGCGGGGUGGACGAGCCUCGCGGGACGCCUUGAAGAGCUAUUCCCCACUGGGCGGCGGGUAGAAUCCUUUGCAAAUGACUUAAGUACGCGAUCGGGUAUUGUAAGUGCCAGAGUAGCCUUGCUGCCACGAACCACUGAGAUUCAGCCCUUGUCGCGUCGAUUCGUCCCUCCCAUCGUAAACCGUUUUUCGAGCAAGGUCGUACACCAUACAAUGGUUACGAACCCGCACCUCGUAUGGGCGACGAGGCGAGUAGGUGCAAAGUCAGCGUUCCGCAAGCACAUGGUAGAGACAAAGUCACUUACAAUGUGGAGUGCGGCAUCACCUCUGGCCAUGCCCCAUGGUACCUUGUGUGUGGUUCAUGGUGUCCGGUGGUUGGGGUGCUUUGUGCAUGGUGUGGUUCCUCGUGCGUGAUCCCGAGUGCAAGGUGAAAGAGAGGCCAUGACACAUGGGUCCUUGUGCUACUAGGUGAAAUUGAGGCCAUUACACACUUUCCGAGUGCUAGGUGAAAGUGACCCGUUCCGUGGCACACGUCCCGAGUGCUCAAAGUGACCCAUUCUGUGGCACACGUUCCGAGUGCUAGGUGAAAGUGACCCAAGCCAUGGCACAUGGUCCGAGUGCUUCGUGGAAGUGACCCAUGCCAUGACCCGUGCCUCGUGUGAGAUUCUUGCUUCUCUCACAUUCCCUAUUUCGGUGAAAGCAUCGUAAGACGCCGACCCCUUCAUGAAAUGCCUUCAUAAAACAAGGUACAUACUCGUUAUCUAAUUUUCGGGAAAUGUUUAGGAAUAAUUCUCCUAGAAUUCCUGCAAAAGAAAAGCCCAAAAAAUAAGAUACACACUCGUUAUCUAAUUUUCGGGAAUUAUGUAAAGCUCGCCGCUUAGAAAAAUCGUGAAACUUCAUGGACCACUAGCUCCCAUUCUAAUAAUGACGUGUGGAAAGAAUCAAGGCAAAAUUCGACCUCUAACCUCAAAAACCCAGUAUCUCUUCCCAAAGAAAAGGAUGUUCGGUGAUGUAGAGUGGGUUUUUUCAUAUUAGCCUACUAGAGGGGGGCAGCUAACUGCCUGCCCAUGCACCUUGGUGGGUCAGGAUGGCAUGCCGUGGGGCUCCCCCCCAGCGCCCCAGCAAGCUUUCCUAGGCAUGCUGGUGCGUUUUUCUAUGACGUUGUGGGCACUUCAACCGAGUCAUCUUCCAUGCUGAAUCCCAGCCGCACGCGGCCAGGUGCAGGCUGGUGCUUUGGCUUAGUGUUGUCCGAUCACGUAGGACUUUUCAAGAUGAAUCAAGGGCUUGGACAGUUCCUCGUAGACCAACUUGGAUUUCUUGAUGCGUGAGUCCCUCUUGUCGAGGUGCCGGCUUCGUCACACAGUGCCGAGUGGGGUAGUUAUAGGAAUCAGUCGGACGUGCCGAGGCUUCAAGUGUUGCACGUUCUGCACGAAAGGAUGUGAUGUUAGGUGAUGCCUUUAGUGGCACAUCUGGAGCAGGAAAAGGUGCAAGUCAAGUCAUCCGGAAGUGUGUUGUGGGCGGGUUGUCAUGGUUUCAGUCGCGGUGCGGCUGUUUAUGUCUCAUGCAACAAAGUGUCUCAUGUAGGCCUGUCCCUCGGAAAAGAGUGUGGUGUUGAGGUGCUGGUUUGGUCACACGGUGCUAGUUUGGUAGUUGCGGGCUUCCGUUCGACUUGCCGAGACUUCCCGUUGUGCACGGAAGGAUGUGGAGUUGGGUGAAGCCCUUAGGGGCAGAUCCGCAGCUUGAAGGGGCGCAAGUCCAAUCAUCCCGAAGUGUGCUGUCGGCGGGUUUGCACGGUUGAGGUCAAGGUGCGGUCGUGUGACUCGAGCAAAGAACGCGACUUGCGUAGGCUCAUCCCUCGGGAAAGCGUGGUCCGUUGACGUGCUGUUUUGGUUAGUUUUGUCCAUCAUGCGGACACUCCGGGGCUUCUAGUGUGUCCCGGUCUGCACAGAAUGAUGUUGUGUUGGGUGAAGCCUUAAGGGGCACAGCCGCAGCACGAAGGGGCACAAGUCCAAUCGUCCGAAAGUGUGUUGUGGUCUGGUUUGCAUGUUUUGAAGUCCUAGUGGGGUCGUGUGUGACCCAAAGCUAAAUAGUGCGGUGUCUGGGCUCGUGCCUUGCUAAACUGUGGUCCGAUGAUGAUCUGGAUUGGUUACACGGUGGCGAGGUAUGUACAUGCGGGCAUGCUGUGGAAGUGCCCAGGCUUCUCUUGUGACCCGUUGCGCACCGAAGGAUUAGGUGAUGCCUUCAUGGAGGUUCUUGAGUGGCCCCCGACUAAGAAGCAGCAGGGGGCUUUUCCCCCACAAUGUCUCGUUCAAUUUGUGAACUGCCCUGGUUGGGAGAUUUAUCCGGGAUGCCUUGCAGCACCAUUCUCUACUUGGCGCUCCUAGAGUCUUAUCAGUGACUUAAAUGGCAGGGCACUUCGGAACAGGCAAAGUGGACUUUCUCUGAUAAUCCACUUUGAUUUUUCUCCUGUCGCCUUGUUUUAUGGCACCAUCGUCCAUCUUUUUGAUUUCUAGUUCGUUCACCCAAUGAGGGAUGCGGAGCAGCAACUCGUGUGUGCGAUUAGUUGAAUCGGUGCAAUGAAAAUCCAUGAUGGACACAUAGUCCCUUAUUCGAGUGAUAGGUGAAUUAGAGUCGUGCCAUACACACUGCCCGAGUGGUAGGUGAAAGUGACGGCACAUGUUCUGAGUGGUUGGUGAAAGUGACCUGUGUCUCGCAUGAGAUUCUUGCUUCAACCGCAUUCCCUAUUUCGGUGAAUGCAUCAUAAGAAACCGACCCCUUCAUGAAUUGCCUCCAUAUUUGGAGGGGAACCCGGAAUUGUUUUUCCAUGGUUGCCUGCAAAGUCUCAAGUCGGAAUUCAACUCCUAGGCGACGUUGCCUGUCAUGGCACCAUGGCGUGUGCCGCACUUUGGUGGAAAAUCAUUGAAGGUAAACGCCUCGAUGUUACAUGGGCAUAACUUUGGGAAAUGUUGAGGAAUAUUAUUCCAAGCAUUCCUGCAAAAGAACAGCUCAAAAAACAUGGUACACACUCAUUUUCUAUUUUUCGGGAAUUAUGUAAUGCUUGCCGCUUAGAAAAAUUACGAAACAUUAUCGGCUUGGAGAAAAAUCGUGAAACUUCGUGGACCACUAGCUCCCAUUUUUAUAAGCACGUGUGCAAAACAUCAGGGCAAAAUUCAACCUCUAGCCUCAAAAAACCCAGUAUGUCUUCCUAGAGAAAAGAAUGUUCGCUGGUGCAUAAUGGGUUUUUGCAUAUUGGCCUAGCAUAGGGGGGCAACUGCCUGCCUGCCCAUGCACCUUGGUGGAUCAGGAUGGCAUGCCAUGGGGCUCCCACCAGCACCUCGGCAAGCUAUGCACGGAAGGUUGCGGGUGGUGACUCGGUGAUGGGUUGAGUAGUUGCGGGUGGCGGACGUUCCGAGGCUUCUAAUGUGACCAGACCUGCACAGAAGGAUGUGGUGCUUGGUGAAGCCCUCAGGGGCAUAGCCACAGCUCGAAGGAGCGCAAGUCCAAUCAUCCGAAAUUGUGUUGCGGGCUGGUUUGCGUGGUUGAAGUGAAGGUCCAUUCGUUUGUGACGCUAGCAACAAUGUGCCUCAAGUAGGCUUGUCCCUCGGAAAUGUGUUGGUUGUUGAGGUGCUAGAUUGGUCCCACGGUGCGGAGUUGGUAGGUACGACAUCCCACGAACAUUCUGAGGCUUCUAGUGUGACUAGUCCUGCACGGAAGGAUGUGGUGCUUGGUGAAGCCCUUAGGGCACAACUGCAACACGAAGGGGCGCAAGUCCAAUCAUCUAGAAGUGUGUUGCAGGCUGGUUUGCAUGGUUGAAGUCAAGGGGCGGUCGUCUGUGACGCUAGCAAUAAUGUGCCUCGGGUAGGCUUGUCCCUCGGAAAUGUGUUGGCUGUUGAGGUGUUGGAUUGCUCCCACGGUGUGGAGUUGAUAGUUACGACAUCCCACGGACGUUCCGAGGCUUCUAGUGUGACCAGUCCUGCACAGAAGGAUGUGGUGCUUGGUGAAGCCCUUAGGGCACAGCUGCAGCAUGAAGGGGCGCAAGCCCAAUCAUCCGGAAGUAGUGUGUUUGCGGCUGGUUUUCAUGGUUGAAGUCAAGGUGCGGUGGUGUAAGACGCAUGCAACAAUGCGAUUAGUCAUUGCAGGCUUGUCCCACGGAAAUAUGUCUGCACCUCGGGAAAUAUGUGCGCACCUAUGCGUAUCUGUUCCCUGUGAGACCCUUUUCGCCAUGGAAGGACAUGGUGUUAGGUGAUGCCAUUAGGGCUGAGCCGCACCACGUAGAGGGGUGAGCCUGUUCGUCGGAAGUGCGUCGUGGGAGUAUUUGGCAAUCGGAUAAAUUUUGAAACUUGGUCCCUAUCGAUUUUGGCAGUUACAUUUUCUUAUCGCCCCCGACGUAGCUGAUCCAGCGGCACCAUGUGUUUCCAUUUGCUUCCUUGCCAUUGGCGUUGUGGGGAGUGGUCCGUAUGGUACCGUCGAGUCUGUCUAACGGGAGGGCGUGU